UACGGAGGGUGCGAGCGUUGUCCGGAAUCACUGGGCGUAAAGGGUGCGUAGGUGGCGUGGUAAGUCGGGUGUGAAAUUUCGGAGCUUAACUCCGAAACUGCAUUCGAUACUGCCGUGCUUGAGGACUGGAGAGGAGACUGGAAUUUACGGUGUAGCAGUGAAAUGCGUAGAGAUCGUAAGGAAGACCAGUGGCGAAGGCGGGUCUCUGGACAGUUCCUGACACUGAGGCACGAAGGCCAGGGGAGCAAACGGG
rnacentral:rRNA from 1 species